GAUGAACGCUGGCGGCGUGCCUAACACAUGCAAGUCGAGCGAUUUACUUCGGUAAAGAGCGGCGGACGGGUGAGUAACGCGUGGGUAACCUGCCUCAUACACAUGGAUAACAUACCGAAAGGUAUGCUAAUACAAGAUGAUAUAAGAGAUUCGCAUGGAUUUCUUAUCAAAGCUCCGGCGGUAUGAGAUGGACCCGCGUCUGAUUAGCUAGUUGGUAAGGUAACGGCUUACCAAGGCGACGAUCAGUAGCCGACCUGAGAGGGUGAUCGGCCACAUUGGAACUGAGACACGGUCCAAACUCCUACGGGAGACAGCAGUGGGGAAUAUUGCACAAUGGGCGAAAGCCUGAUGCAGCAACGCCGCGUGGGUGAUGAAGGCCUUCGGGUCGUAAAACUCUGUCCUCAAGGAAGAUAAUGACGGUACUUGAGGAGGAAGCCCCGGCUAACUACGUGCCAGCAGCCGCAGUAAUAC
rnacentral:rRNA from 1 species